UACAGAGGUCCCGAGCGUUAUCCGGAUUCACUGGGUUUAAAGGGUGCGUAGGUGGGAAGGUAAGUCAGUGGUGAAAUCCCCGAGCUUAACUUGGGAACUGCCAUUGAUACUAUCUUUCUUGAAUACCUUGGAGGUGAGCGGAAUAUGUCAUGUAGCGGUGAAAUGCUUAGAUAUGACAUAGAACACCAAUUGCGAAGGCAGCUCACUACACGGUCAUUGACACUGAGGCACGAAAGCGUGGGGAUCAAACAGG
rnacentral:rRNA from 1 species